CGUCAAUGUGGCGAGCAGGACUCCGGCGCAGAGGAGUCGAGAGGAGCGCUGCAUUCAGGGAGGCUCCGACGCGCUCGUUUCUCCGCGCACGACGCCCCGGAUGGCCGCUUAACCGCCCGCGCGAUCCCUGCUUCACACGCGCGCCGCGUGACGCGACCAAGCGGAUAUUUGCGCUCACUUUUGCCGGAGUCGCAGACAGAAGCGCUACAACAUGAAAUACAAAGCUUUCGACGGCGGACGUUUAUACUGUCUGUGAUCAGGCGAGACGGCGGGGGAAGAGAAGAGAGCCGGGUCGGCGUGUGAGCCACAGAGGGGAGGGGCUCGGACAGCCGGGGGGCUUCGGGCGGCGCAUCGAGUUCCACGUGCACGUUUCCUCGCUUUCUGAUGGCAAAAACAUAAGAGGCCGUGAAGCCGUCCUCGAAACCAGAUGUUGCAGGCCAGGACAUUUGUCAAUAAUGACAAUAAAGCUGUUUAGUAUUAAAGAAAAUAUUUCAGUUGUUUCUUUUCUGGAAAAAGUGCAUUUUUCUUGUAAACGUGUAAAAUCCAGUUAAGUUAAAUUAAGGUAAAAUCACAAACUUUCUUAUUAAAGUACAUUUGAAGAAUGCAAUGUAAGACAAAACAUAUAUAAAUAUUAAAAUAUAUAAAAGUAUUACCAUUUGAAAUAACCCCC
ensembl:lncRNA